AGGACGAACGCUGGCGGCGUGCUUAACACAUGCAAGUCGAGCGGUGAUCCUCCUUCGGGAGGUGAGCAGCGGCGAACGGGUGAGUAACACGUGGGCAACCUGCCCCUCACACUGGGAUAACCUCGGGAAACCGGGGCUAAUACCGGAUACGACCUCGAGCGGCAUCUCUUGAGGUGGAAAGCUCCGACGGUGAGGGAUGGGCCCGCGGCCUAUCAGCUUGUUGGUGGGGUAAUGGCCUACCAAGGCGACGACGGGUAGCCGGCCUGAGAGGGCGACCGGCCACACUGGGACUGAGACACGGCCCAGACUCCUACGGGAGGCAGCAGUGGGGAAUAUUGCGCAAUGGGCGAAAGCCUGACGCAGCGACGCCGCGUGAGGGAUGAAGGCCUUCGGGUUGUAAACCUCUUUCAGCAGGGACGAAGCGAAAGUGACGGUACCUGCAGAAGAAGCACCGGCUAACUACGUGCCAGCAGCCGCGGUAA
rnacentral:rRNA from 1 species